rnacentral:rRNA from 1 species
GGACGCCAGUCUGCAUGGAGCCGACCUUGAAAUACCACCCUUUAAUGUUUGAUGUUCUAACGUGGACCCGUUACCCGGGUUGCGGACAGUGUCUGGUGGGUAGUUUGACUGGGGCGGUCUCCUCCUAAAGAGUAACGGAGGAGCACGAAGGUUGGCUAAUCCUGGUCGGACAUCAGGAGGUUAGUGCAAUGGCAUAAGCCAGCUUGACUGCGAGCGUGACGGCGCGAGCAGGUGCGAAAGCAGGUCAUAGUGAUCCGGUGGUUCUGAAUGGAAGGGCCAUCGCUCAACGGAUAAAAGGUACUCCGGGGAUAACAGGCUGAUACCGCCCAAGAGUUCAUAUCGACGGCGGUGUUUGGCACCUCGAUGUCGGCUCAUCACAUCCUGGGGCUGAAGUAGGUCCCAAGGGUAUGGCUGUUCGCCAUUUAAAGUGGUACGCGAGCUGGGUUUAGAACGUCGUGAGACAGUUCGGUCCCUAUCUGCCGUGGGCGCUGGAGAACUGAGGGGGGCUGCUCCUAGUACGAGAGGACCGGAGUGGACGCAUCACUGGUGUUCGGGUUGUCAUGCCAAUGGCACUGCCCGGUAGCUAAAUGCGGAAGAGAUAAGUGCUGAAAGCAUCUAAGCACGAAACUUGCCCCGA